rnacentral:rRNA from 1 species
UACGUAGGUGGCAAGCGUUGUCCGGAUUUACUGGGCGUAAAGAGCGCGCAGGCGGUCGGAUAAGUCGAAUGUGAAAGCCCCCGGCUCAACUGGGGAGGGUCAUUCGAUACUGUUCGACUCGAAGGCAGGAGAGGGAAGUGGAAUUCCCGGUGUAGUGGUGAAAUGCGCAGAUAUCGGGAGGAACACCAAUGGCGAAGGCAGCUCGCUGGGACGGUACUGACGCUGAGACGCGAAAGCGUGGGGAGCAAACAGG